UCGGGGAUCGUCUAAUGGUAGGACAGCGGCCUUUGAAGCCGUCAAUCGGGGUUCAAAUCCCUGUCCCCGAGCCA
rnacentral:tRNA from 2 species